ensembl:lncRNA
UGGAUAAUACUGCUUGGACAUUUUCAUGCAGCACAGAUCAUGACGACAGCACAAAGCACAACGCCAGCAACCACCACUACAACAGGAGCAACAAACACCACAACGGCACUACCAACAACUGCAAGUGGACAUCCGACAUCCACAACAACAACACCUCCAACUAUGACAACAGAACUACCAACCACUACAACAGCAUCGCCGACCACCACAACAACACCACCAACCACUACAACAGAACCUUCGACGACCACAACCACACCACAAACCACCACAACAGCCCCACAAACCACCACAACAGCACCACUGACCACCACAACACCAUCAACUACAAACACAGGGCCUCUGACCACAACAACAGCACCACCAACCACUACAUCAGCACCACCAACCACUACAACCAAAGCACCAACUACCACAACAGGACCUAUGACCAGCACAACAACACCACCAACCACUACAAUGGCACCUGCGACUACCACAGCGGCACCACAAAUAACCAUAAUAACACCUCUGACAACCACAAUGACAACCCCAACCACUACAACAGCACCUCUGACCAUUACAACAGCACCACAGACAACCACAUUCACAACACCAACCACUACAACAACAGCUCCAACCGCCACGACACCACCACCAACUACAACAGCACCUCCGACCACCACAACAGCUCCACCAACCACAACAACAGCACCACUGACAACCACACUCACAACACCAAACACUACAACAGCAGUUCCGGCCACCACAACAGCACCACCAACAAGCACUACAACAGCACCACCGACCACCACAACCACAGCACAAACUACCACAACAGCACCUUUGACCAGCACAACAGCACCAAUAACCACUACAACAGCACCUCCGACUACCACAGUGGCACCACAAACCACCACAACAACAACCACAACAACUGAACCUCCAACCACUACUACAGUACCUCCAGCCACUACAACAGCACUACCAACAACUACAACAGCACCACCGACAACGACAACAGCUCCACCAACCACUGCAACAGCAUCUCCAACCACCACAACAGCACCUCCGACCACUACAACAGCACCACCAACAACCACACUCACAACACCAACCACUACAACAGCACCUCCAACCACCACAAAAGCACCAACAAGCACUACAACAGCAUCACCGACCACCACAACGGCAGAACCAACUACAAACACAGAGCCUCUGACCACAACAACAGCACCACCAACCACUACAUCAGCACCACCAACCACUACAACCAAAGCACCAACUACCACAACAGGACCUAUGACCAGCACAACAACACCACCAACCACUACAACAGCACCUGCGACUACCACAGCGGCACCACAAAUAACCAUAACAGCAACUCUGACAACCACAAUGACUACCCCAACCACUACAACUGUACCUCCAACCACUACAACAGCACCUCUGACCAUUACAACAGCACCACAGACAACCACUACAACAACACCAACCACUACAACAACAGCUCCAACCGCCACGACACCACCACCAACUACAACAGCACCUCCGACCACCACAACAGCUCCACCAACCACAACAACAGCACCACUGACAACCACACUCACAACACCAAACACUACAACAGCAGUUCCGGCC